AAGUCCUGGCCCAGACCUAAGCAACCAGGUUCCACCCUGUUCCCUCUUACCCACCCUACGCCAGCGGCUAAAAGCUGCCUUGGCUAGCUCAGACCCUGAGAGCUAAGGGAUGGGAAGGGUUCCGGUGGGGACACAUGGCCAGUGGCUGUUCUUCCAUAUUCAUCUGUCUUUAAUAUUCAGAUGAAUGGAAGUACAUGACCUUGCUAGUGUUUUGGGGUAGGAAAGGCAAGAGAGUCCUCAGAAGUCAUCUAAAUCAUGCCUUUUUAUUUUUCAGAUAAGUAAAACUGUGGUUCAAAGAGGCCCUGGGACCACCUGCGAAGAUCCUGGGAUUCAUCAGGGGUCUGGGGGCUUGUGACUCCAGCGGGCCUGAGGACAGAGAUGGAGGCCGGACCUUGGAUCACACCUGCUCCGGCUAUUCUGAUGUCAUCUCCAUCUCCUGGAGACAGUUGCUGCAUGAGAACAAAGGCAGGGCCCAGACGAGGUCUGGAGGGAUAAGCGGCAGGGAUCUGGGCACUGAGCUGAGGCACUGGGCAGGCAGAGCCAUUGCCCUCGCCCCUACCAUGAACCCCUACAGAGAUGCUGCUAGAACCUUGCUUUCUAAGGGGUAGGAGGGUCUGGCUGCCUCUGCCUCUACUCACCCCAUAGACACACAGGCCUUCUCUCCAUCCAGGGAGAACAUAGCUGCCAAGAGCAGUCCUGCCCCCACACCAGGCUCCCCAGCAGUGAGGAGCUGGGCUGGGCUGUCCUCACCCGCCCUCUUGGCCUCACCCUGGCCCUUCCCUGGCCCUGCCUCGGGAUGCCAGGACCCAUAGCAGGUGCCUGGACAGGCUUGGGGAUGGAAAGGGGGCUGGGCACAGAAGGCCAGCUUCUGGCCAAGAACAGAACUCAUAGA
rnacentral:lncRNA from 10 species